rnacentral:misc_RNA from 1 species
GAUGAAGAACGCAGCGAAAUGCGAUAAGUAAUGUGAAUUGCAGAAUUCAGUGAAUCAUCGAAUCUUUGAACGCACAUUGCGCCAGCCAGUAAUCUGGCGGGCAUGCCUGUUCGAGCGUCAUUUCAACCCUCAGGCCCCGCCUGGCGUUGGGGAUCGGCGCGGCCCUCUCCGGGCUGCCGGCCCCGAAAACUAGUGGCGGUCUCGCUGUAGUCCUCCUCUGCGCAGUAGCAACGCUCGCCCUGGAACUCGGCGCGGCCACGCCGUAAAACACCCCACUUCUGAAAGUUGACCUCGGAUCAGGUAGGAAUACCCGCUGAACUUAAGCAUAUCAAUAAGCGGAGGA